rnacentral:lncRNA from 1 species
AGAGUAGUGUGAUGUUGAGAAAUGUGAUGGGGAAUCUUGAUCUGCUAAAUUCAUCUCCGAUUACUUCCAUUAUGCUUCUCUUGCAAUCCGAUCCCCAGUAUGUGGCAUUGUCAACUAGAGUUGUUUCGUUGUAACAGCUGUGACCCGGUUCGCCUCCCCAGUCUAUGCUCCUGCCCAAGAACUUCAAAUGUUAGUCCCCUGUCUAGAUAAGCUAAACCAGUGUACUUUUCUAUGAUGUCAUAUUCUCUCAUCUUUGUUGGUUUGUCUAACAGAAUCAAUUUGGUGCAUAACACAACAAAAUCAGACAAUGGAAGAGAGACAGUCUGCUCACUUUUGAUGAGUAGGUGACAUGCUGGUGAAAAAGACCCUUGUUUUCUUGCGGUUCAUAUUCUUUCUCACCCAUCUCAGCAUGCUUUUCAUUGCCAUACGAUACGCAUCCUCGGGUGACAGCUCUAUGAUAUCUUUUGUUUCAUCUUCGAAUGACCCUUGCCUGGAAAACAUAAGCUGUUAGACUUCAAUUCUUCAAGCUAAUACAAGCUACAACCAAGAAAACUGUGACAAAUUAUGAGUGAAAAGCAAGUAUUUACAAGAUUUUUAUGUCUUGGCCAGUCAUCCACCAUAGGUAAGUAUUGAAGACUAUAAUAUCAACGCCUUUCCAAUUUUUCCCAUGUUUAUUGAUUGAACCUCUCCUCACAAUUCUAUCUGAUACUCUAUGAAUGACAGCAUCAUCCGAGUUUGAUUCAAGGAGAAAUGGUGCCCAGUAGAACUCAAUUGUUGCAUUGUAUUCCUGUUCAAACAUAAAUGAAGUUACUUUUUGUGUACAAGUUUCAUAUAUAUAUAUUAACAGGUGAUGUGAAGCAAAUUAGAGAAGAAAAUUAAUUAAAUUCACCUUGGCAGUGAAGACCGUUAAAGAACCGAAUGUUUCCAUGGAUUUUUGGUCUUCAGGGAUAAGUCGGUGGAGAAGACAGACCAUGGAAACAUAUUGACCCCGGUUCAAAGAAUCACCAACAAACAUCAUUCUUUUUCCUCGUAAGGUUUCAAGCAUCAAUGUGGCAUUAAAACUGCAUAAUAUGUGACAAAAGUGUUGUCAUCUACAUGCCAACAAUCUUAAUUCCAAUGUUAUCAAUGCAAUGAUAUCCAUCAAAACAUCAAUCAAUCAAGUAAAUAACAUGGUGUGGCAAUUUGUGGCCAUUGGGAUGAAACUACUGCACGAAAACUUCAGAAAAGGUGUCGUUUCUUGUUUCUAUUGCUCAAUGCAAUAGUCAAUUUCGAUUAAAGCUUGGAAUCAAAAUCUUGGGUCUGCAAAAUAAAAUAAAAUAAAAAAUACCUUCUCAAAAGUGCAAAUAAGAACGAUGAUGAUUUGGAGAGUGAACGAGUUGAGAUACACCUUGUGGGUGUACACAAACUACUGGACCCGGCCCACUUGACUACAAUAGAUGAACAGCCCACAUUCGGACAAGUAAUAUGGGCCUUCUCACAGAGGACUACGGGCAGAGCUCGCUAUCCCAUACUAAUAUCAAGCCCAUUUAAAGGUAAAACUGAUGCAGAAAUUAGAGACAGUGAUAAGACUAGGAUAAAUUAUAUUAGUCCCUGUAGAUUAUGUGAUGUUCCAUUUUGACUCAUUUAAUUUAAUAUUUCAAAUAUCAAUCUCAUAAUUAUUUAUUUUUUCUUGAAUAUUUUGGACCUCUCUCUCUCUCUCUCUCUCUCUCUCUCUCUCUCUAUAUAUAUAUAUAUAUAUAUAUAUAUAUAUAUAUAUAAAAGAGAUGGUAGAAUAUUUCAAAAGGAAUCAAGCAGAACGGAUAGCAAUAAAUAAAAAAAGUAUAAUAAAAGAAAACAAAAAUUAAUUAACGUCAACGAUGAUAUGUUUAUUCUUCUUCUUCUUCUUCUUCCAAUCGAAGUGGGUCACACGAUAGGGAGCAUUAUUGAGAAUCUCAAUUAUUUAUAUUUAAUCAACGUUAUUGCUGAUCUGUCCUAUUUGAUCUGAACAUGCCCCCGAAUUUUAAACAAAACAUGCCCAGAUGAAAGCAGAAACUGGAAGUUUAGGAACAACCACCACUCACAUAUAUAUAUAUGCACAUCUACUGAUCAUGGUUUAUCUGUUGUUACACGUCACUCCAAAUUAAACUUUAUGCAUUUAAAGAAAUUUAAUAAAGUUUCUUACACAAUAAUUUUAAUUACAUGAUUUUUUAGGUUUAGAAGUAUUUUAAAAAUAUAUCAAAAUAAUAAUAUUAUUUUUUAAAAUUUAUUUGCAUCGCAAUAUCAAAAUAAUAUAAAAACAUAAAAAAAAAUUAAUUAAAAUAAAACAAUCUCAAAAGUACAGUCAGAACCAAUUCCAAAAAUUAAUGAUAUCAAAAUAGAAUUAACAUGGUAUAAUUAUCUUUAUUGAAACAUGAUUUUUUAAAACGGUAAAAUUAAUAGUUAUUCACAAUUGCAUCGCGUGCAAUUUAGCAAAUUCCGUAGAGAGAAGAGAGCAAAUUAAUAUUUACCUGGGAAGAUCACAGCCAUGAGGUUGCCAUCUCCAGUGUUGAUAAUCCUUCUCAGGCCUGCCAUGCUCUUGACAUGUCAACUGUGGCUGUAUGUACGGACACUCCGAUUCUUCAUAAAGUGGCCGGUUUGAAUCGUCCCACACCCACCUCCCGCUAAAAAAAUCACAACCU